rnacentral:rRNA from 1 species
CUUAGGGUUGUAAAGCUCUUUUACUAGGGAUGAUAAUGACAGUACCUGGAAGAAUAAGCUCCGGCUAACUCCGUGCCAGCAGCCGCGGUAAUACGGAGGGAGCUAGCGUUGUUCGGAAAUACUGGGCGUAAAGCGAACGUAGGCGGUCUAGUAAGUCAGGGGUGAAAUCCCGGAGCUCAACUCCGGAACUGCCCUUGAAACUACUAAACUAGAAUCCUGGAGAGGUCAGUGGAAUUCCGAGUGUAGAGGUGAAAUUCGUAGAUAUUCGGAAGAACACCAGUGGCGAAGGCGACUGACUGGACAGGUAUUGACGCUGAGGUUCGAAAGCGUGGGGAGCAAACAGGAUUAGAUACCCUGGUAGUCCACGCCGUAAACGAUGAUAACUAGCUGUCCGGGCUCAUAGAGCUUGGGUGGCGCAGCUAACGCAUUAAGUUAUCCGCCUGGGGAGUACGGUCGCAAGAUAAAAACUCAAAGGAAUUGACGGAUUAAC